CUGUACCAAAGCAUGUAAGAAUAUCAAGAAGGGCAUGCACCCCAAAAUAGAAAUAAAACAUAAGUUCAGAACUAGAGAACAAUGCCAAUAAGGAAAGAUUCCACGGUAGCCCGGAUAUGUUUCUCACCCUAAAGUGUGGAGUUAACCGCUAAAAUCACAAAUGAGGUCCCGUAGGAGCCGCUGGAACAUGCGUUGCACUAAAAAAAGUAAAU
rnacentral:lncRNA from 1 species